rnacentral:rRNA from 1 species
UGGCUACAGAACGACGCUGGCGGCAUGCCUAACACAUGCAAGUCGAACGAGACCUUCGGGUCUAGUGGCGCACGGGUGAGUAACGCGUGGGAACGUGCCCUUUGGUUCGGAAUAGCCUCGGGAAACUGGGAGUAAUACCGGAUACGGUCGAGAGACGAAAGAUUUAUCGCCGAAGGAUCGGCCCGCGUUGGAUUAGGUAGUUGGUGGGGUAAAGGCCUACCAAGCCGACGAUCCAUAGCUGGUUUGAGAGGAUGAUCAGCCACACUGGGACUGAGACACGGCCCAGACUCCUACGGGAGGCAGCAGUGGGGGAAUCUUAGACAAUGGGGGAAACCCUGAUCUAGCCAUGCCGCGUGAUCGAUGAAGGCCUUAGGGUUGUAAAGAUCUUUCAGUGGGGAAGAUAAUGACGGUACCCACAGAAGAAGCCCCGGCUAACUCCGUG